CUUUCCUCUACUCUCCAUCCUACUCCCUCUGGUUCCUGCUCUCAGAUUUCUCUUCAGCUGAGAGGUGUUAAAAAACAAUCUAUGGUUUGUUUCAUCUCUUCACGAUUGUGUCAAUCCCUCUUACCUACCUCUUCAAAAUAAGACUAUUUUUUUUUCCCCUAGUGCUAUAUUGGGUGUGACAACAGGUUGAAAAUGCCACCCACCCUCUCUCAGACCACAAACAGAGCUGAAUCAGUGAACCUAGCCUUAUAAACAAGGGCGUAGACCAGAGGAGGAGACCAAGACGUGAUGAGGCCAGAGGAGGAAAAAGAAAGCAAGAAGAAAAAGCACUGCAGCUUCUAGUGCGAGUUAAAUAGAUGUCUUACACAAGGUUACCUGUCAACCACUGGAGGAGACAUCAUCAGAUUUUAUUGACAAAGUUGUUACUGUCGCCAUUCCUGUGGCCGUGGUUGUUGAAGAAAAUACUAAAAUGAAUUACUAAAGGAAUGAUUCGGACUUAG